rnacentral:rRNA from 1 species
GUCUACAGCCAUGCCACCCUGAACGAGCCCGAUCCCAUCUGAUCUUGGAAGCUAAGCAGGGUCGGGCCUAGUUAGUACUUGGAUGGGAGACCACCUAGGAAGACCAGGUGCUGUAGGUG